GUCACUCAAUUGCAACAAAAAAGGGAAAACCCGUUUUUUUUCCUCUCAAAAUCCUCCAAAUCCCUGAAACCAAACGCGCCCUUAAUGUUUCCAAGUACCUACGGCCUUCUCUAGUCACUCUCAAUCGCAAGGAAAAGCAGGAAAUAAGAGUUGUAACAGUACUGACUUUAAAGCAUACUAGCUGUAAAGUGUAUAUGUGUACAGUCAAAGAUUUGAAACCAUUUUUGAGCUUCGCAAAAUCAACAAACUAAGACAUUAUUGCAUGCAUGCAUCACAGAUUCACACGCUUGAAUAUAUUACAGUACUAUUUUACCAAUUAAAAUAUGUUUAGGGCAAAUCAUUUCAGCCUCCCCAAUCUCCUAUUUUUAGGGCAAAUCAUUUCAGCCUUCCCAAUCGCCUCCAUCUCUAUUCUCGUUCUCAACUCUCUCUCUCUCUCUCUGCAACUGCAAACUACCAGAUCUAGAAGAAUCAGAAGUUCAAAACCCAUAUAUUUCAGUUGAUCUAUCUGUCUGCAAGAAUCAAAAGAUCAAAACCUAAUACCUAUACCAAAACCCAUAUCUGCAUAUCAUUUCAGAUUGUUCAAAAAAUCAAGACCCAUAUCUUUCAGUUUCCAUCGCCCGCUGUUCCAGUUCGGGUUCGCCGUUCGCAAGCUUCAGCCGCUGUCUCUCAACUCUCAAGCUUGCCCCCCUCGCUCUCUGCAACUGCUAACUUGUACGUUAGCAUCGGGCCUAAACAUUUAGCAAGAAUAAGGUUCAAGAAACAUCCCUCCUCGGUCAUCAGGUAUCUUUUCCGAAAGAAGAGAGAUGAUGGGAAUGGGUGGAGUAUGGCAAAAGAAAAUAGGAGUUUACCUUGAAAAAGGAAGGCGGCUGGUAAUGCCCAAAAGGUUGUUAACCUCAGCCUGGCUGUAAUGGACUCGUCGAUUAAUGAACGAGUUGUUUGUCAAUUAAUGAACGAGUUGGUCGACCAGCGGCGGCUGUGUCCUUCUACGCAUGGUUCACUGAAGAUACGCAGAGGGGAGCCGAAAUAGAGAGAGGAGCUUCAGAAGAAGCUGCUUGAGGAAGCAUUUAAAAGCAUUUAAACCAGUGGUGGAAGGUCGACUCCCACCAGAGUGGAUGCUUUGGUGGAGAGAAGUGCAAAUGCCAAGCUUCAAAUGCUGCAAUGCUUGCACUGUUUGCGGCAGCAGCCCCUCUAAAAAGCAGCCACAGGGUCUUUGAAUUCUCUAGUUUAUAUAUAUAUAUGCAUGAAUGGAUGUUAAAGGUUUUUACAAUUGCCUUAAAAGUUGAAAGUAGUUUGAAGUCCAAUUAUAGUAUUCUGGCUUUUAGUAUAUUUUACUAGCAUUUUGGCUUCAUUUCUGGUGUUUCGGAAGUGGGCAUAUGCCCUCUUGCUCUUGCAUUGUUGGAUAGCCUUGAACAAUUGAUGGGUUUUGCUCUGAAUUUGAAGUGGUACUCCCAUUGGUAAUCCACAUCACUUGAUCUCACCAUGUUCUUCAAUAGAGCCACAGAUAAAAUUGUUGGAUAGCCUUGAACAAUUGAUGGGUUUCGCUCUGAAUUUGAAGUAGUACUCCCAUUGGUAAUCCACAUCACUUGAAGCACAGAUCUCACCAUGUUCUUCAAUAGAGCCACUGAAUGAAUUGUGUUCCCCACAAGCGCAUAAAGUAGCCCCUCAGCUGGAUUAGGAAAGUUUCGGGUGAGCCACUAUACUCUUUUAGUAGGGAACAACAUUUAUCUACUCAUUCUUACUACUCGGUGGUAUCAUAAAUACAUACAUUAGAGGUGGUUACAAACAUAUGUGUGUGUUUGGUUGAAGGGAUGGAUUUUGGUUAUAGAUAUGGUGUGUGGAUAACUGCGUGCAUAUAUAGAGAUAUGGUGUGUGCAUACAUAGAGAUAUGGUAAUUUAUUAAUCGUUUGGCUUGGGGAUCACUCCAGCCAUGGCUUGGCUUUUAUGCGAGGGCAUUUGGAUUUCUUUUACAGGGGUGGGGUGUCUUGCAUCCUUGGGUAUUAGGGUUAGGAUUAAGGUAAGGGUUGGGCUUAUGAGAAGUACAUGUGUACAAAAAUAUGCUCGUAUUUACAAGGUAAACCCUAGAACCAUGUAUAUAUAGAAGUAUUUUUGUGUGAGAAUCGAAUUAGGUAGUUCGAAACCAUGUGAUCAGGACUAAUCCAAAAAUGUUACGCAAUCAAAUAUCCGUGUGUUGGCACUCCAUUUUCAUAUAUGGAUUGCUUGGUUAGUGAUAAGUUUUAAUUAGUCA